GACUGUAGCCACAGGGAGGGAGGAAGAUAAAGGAUUCAGAUCAAGCGAAAUGCUGCAACAAGCACAUCUUAAGACCAAUAUAAAAGCAUUUCAGAACGAUCAGUACUUGGUAGUCACAUAUCUUAUGCAUGUGUUGGGUAAUCAGCCUUCCUGGAGGUGUGCUUAAUUAGAGGUGGCAAAUUAAGGUUUAUGAGACUUUUUUGUACAGUGAACCAUCUAUUAGUAUUCUCACUUCAUCUUAGUAGAGCUUCCUCAAUAGUAAAUGCUUGGGGAUGCAGGCUAUAAGCCGACUCAUGUAAAUCUUUAUUGAUUGAUACUUGUUUGCAGUACCAAUUUCUUGUCAUAAGUAGAACCUAAUGUCAGGAUAUUUACUUACAAUAAUUUCCACUAAUCUGUUCUGUAUUUGAAUGUAGAUGAGGAGGAG
rnacentral:lncRNA from 1 species